rnacentral:rRNA from 1 species
CAGCAGCCGCGGUAAUACGUAGGGUGCAAGCGUUAAUCGGAAUUACUGGGCGUAAAGCGUGCGCAGGCGGUUUGUUUAGACAGAUGUGAAAUCCCCGGGCUCAACCUGGGAACUGCAUUUGUGACUGGCAAGCUAGAGUAUGGCAGAGGGGGGUGGAAUUCCGCGUGUAGCAGUGAAAUGCGUAGAUAUGCGGAGGAACACCAAUGGCGAAGGCAGCCCCCUGGGCCAAUACUGACGCUCAUGCACGAAAGCGUGGGGAGCAAACAGGAUUAGAUACCCGCGUAGUCCCUGUCUCUUAUAC